AGAUGUUUAAACCUCAGACAGGAUGGGGCUGGGGCUGGGCCAACAACUUGCUCAACAUUCUUCUGAGUCUGACGGGCUGGUGGAGUGUGAGCGUGGCUCCUAAAUUUCUUGGGUAGGACUGAAGAAGCACUUUUAAGGUUAAUUUUCUUCACACAGAGGUGAAGUUACUGGGUCAAUGCAUAUAAAUUUAGAAGGCAGAGUAGGUAGGCAUCAGUAAUUGCUUGUGCCACUGAAUUCUUUGUGUUGUAUAUUGUUUUCCUGCCAAUAAACUCU
rnacentral:lncRNA from 1 species